ensembl:lncRNA
AUUCUCCGCACCAAACCGAAGAGUGUGGCACCAAUACGCCUGAAGUUGUGAGCGAGAAGCUGCAGCGUGAUGGAGGUUGAGAAUAAAGAAGCAACCGAGAGCCCUGUGCCCAACGGCAGCACCCACCCACCCAAACGUGGACGAGGCAGACCACGAGGGUCUCUCAAUAAGAAGUUCCCUACCGAGAAAGCGCCGACACACAAUGCCAGGCCGUCUAAGAAGGUGGACUUCUUUUCUCCUGACAUAGUCAUAAAGAACAAGGUGAAGAAACGUGGUCGACCAAAGAAGUUAAAAAUGCCUGGCAGGCCAAGAAAGAUCCCGCUCACGCCUGAGGAAGAAUCUGAGAGACUUCAGAGGAUGAGUUUACAGCGCAAGCGGAGACUGUCAAAGCCGCUCGGAAGACCACGCAUUCAUCCCAUCACUGAAGGAUCCAAGGCUAAAAGCGCCAAACAAGCUGGUGUUGAUAUCAGCCUGGAUGCCUCCAACGGUACUCCACGAAAGAGAGGGAGGCCGGCGGGCUCGUUGAAGAGAAAGAGGGGUCGGCCCGCAGGUUCUACCAAGGUUGCCAAGAUCGCCAGGGCCUCAGAUGGAACCCCAAAAAGGAGAGGCCGCCCCCCAGGCUCUCCCAACAAGGUGAAGAAGAUUCAGCGGGCUGACGGUUCUCCUCGCAAGAGGGGCCGGCCCCCAGGCUCUGGCACCAAACUGAAGGUCAUUCAACGAAACCCAGAUGGAUCUCCUCGCAAGAGAGGCCGACCUCCAGGUACCGGAAAAGUCAAGGCGCAUGCUGGAGAAGGUGGAGAGACAGGAGGUGAGAACGCAGAUGGCGCUGCUCCACGUCGAAAGAGAGGACGUCCAAGCAAAGUCAGACUCGAAGUCAUGCUCGAAAAACUCCCCACGGCAGCAGCAGAAGAAGAUGAAGAGGAGACCGACGCAACCUCUCCCAAACAGUCUCGCACCUCUGAUAAUUCGUCGCAAAAUCCAAACAAUGAUGAGGAAGACACCAGGGCGAGCGAGAACGACGCAGACCCAGAAGAGGACGCCAUUGAUUGUUCAAAAAAAAGAAAUGAAAAGAUAAGGGGCUUCGUUGAAAAUUGGUGGGAAUAUUUUUUGAAGGGGUUUAAUAGGCUAUGUCAAUUUUUUUUUUUAUUUUUUUUUUAAAUCUGACAAAGUAUGCUCUUGAUGUUGCCUGCCAUCCCAGACUGUAUUUUUUAUUUUUCUCUCUCUCGCUUUUAUUUUGAAGCUCAUUAACUGAUCGUUUGCUCACUGAUUGAGCACAAUUGUUUUUUGUUUUGUUUUUUUUGCAUGGGGAAAACUAUUUUGUUUGCAUAAUAAUUUUAAGCAUGCAAACUCGAAGGACAAGUAUGUAGCCUGUAAAAAUCAUGGGGUCUAAAAAGAUGCUGCACAAUUAAUGGUUCCAUUGAAAACGUUUCCAUGCUAAGCACACCUUAUUUGUUAACAAUGGCUUGUGCCAAUUAUUUCAGAGCAACUACCAAACCAGACGGUUUCAGAUGUAGUAUCCUUAUACCUGUGCAGUAGUCCAUGUGCACAGGAUUUCAAAGUAACCGAGGCAGAUUUUUUUAAUUUAAAUUGCCCAGACGGUUUUUAGUUGAUGUAGUCGUGGCUGUGAAACCUGCAGCUUUUUCGAGGAUGAUGGUUAAGUGCAUUUUUGCUGUAGUUUUAUUUCUUUUAUCAUCGUCGCUUCAUUCAUACGUCAACUCUCUAAAUUCAGUCCCGCCGAGUUCAGUGUUUUAUAGUGAAACGGUCUUAUUUUAUGCUUCGUAUCAGAUCUUUGUCUGAUAGUUCGGUAAUAUAUAGGUGUCGAGUGAUUAGUUUACGACAACCCCUCGUUUUUGCUAAAAUAUUGUGAUUGCUUUGUUUUUAAAGACAUGCUGUUGUUUUUAAAAAUGUGAAAACAUACAAAACUCUGCUUUGAUAGUAGGCCCAUGGGUCCCGGUUUUUAAUUUUCAUAUCAUUUAUGGCUUUUUAUAUACAUUUCUUGUUGCUCCUGUCUUUUUGUACUUUUUCUCCUGUAACCGUUUUUUUGUUUUCUCCUUGAUUUGCUUAGUUUGUGUAAAAGCGUAGACUUCUCUUGCUCUAAACCGUAGAUCUUGUCUUGAUUAAUUUUCAUGUAUGAUUUAGCAGUAGCUGCUGAAAACAGAUUGUUUUAGCUGAGAUCUUGCAAAUCUAGAAAUGUUCUUUCAUGUUAAUAAAACAGUUACUGUUCAAACAUGAUUGUUCAGUAGACAUUAAGUGCAUUUCAUGUACACGCUUUUUAAUUAGGUUACUCAUUUGUGCUGUAGUACGAAAGAUUUCUGUAUUACCGCUUUGUAUAAUUCAUUUCACUCUGUGAUUUGGAUGAGCAUUGUUUUGUGAUUAAUAACCAAUUAAAUCAUACCAUAUUCACCAAGUGUGGUUGUGCUCUUCAUUUACUACAGUUGCAUGUGAUUUGAAUUAAUCCAACUCUCUUUUAAGAGGUAACUUUUCUUCUGUUUCCCCAUCCAUUCACAGAAAAAAUAAAACUACACAGUGGAGGAGCGAGUAACAGCAUCAGCACUUUAUUAGAAUCAGCACAUGGUGGGCAAGCAGACAUGCUUUAAAAUGAACCACGAGUUAGCAGCUUGGCUUCAAAUGCUCGGGGACAGGAACUGGUAUUUUAUGCAUCUCUGCAGCACAUAUUUACAAGUUGCAUAUAACACAUGUAGACAUUUUUUUUUUUAUUUUUUUUUUAAGGGAAUAAUGUUCACUGCCCUGCAUUAGGUUUGCAGUUUAGGUUAAUGAUGAAUGUAGGGGAUAUUAUUCACAAAUGAUCAUCUUGCAUUAAAUUCUACAUCAACAGAGAGCAAAUUUUCAUAGUUUUAGGUGCUGGACAAUAUGUCCUUAAUACCAAAAGAAUGUCCAGUUAAACCUACAAUCACUAUAAUGAAGGUGGUUAAAGUGCCCAUGUAUAUUUUACACAAACACAUGCAGAGUUACAUCCCUGAACAUUGUCUUCUCCAGUGCUGAUUAGGUAUCUGCUCCCACACUGAAUCCCGAAUAUUUACAAAUACAUUAAUCUACUCCUGUUAUUCUUCAUUUUGCAUAUCAGCAGUAGUUCACUCAACCCAAAGACAUCAUGUUGCCAGUAAAGUC